CAGCCUCCCUCACAGGGUCGUUGGCGUGGGGAUAAGCUUGGGAGCAGGAGGAAGAGAGUGGGAGCUUUGUUCUUUAAGCAGAACGAUGGGAUUUAAAUCUAAUGAAUCGCCUGACAAACACCAUUUGCUUUCUGCAUAACGGCUUGCUUUGGAGAGGAAAAGGGAGGAGGCAAAGGAAUGUCGAUCAGCGGCAGCGAGUGAGAGAAGGCCCUCCAGCAAGGACUGGCGGCAGGGAUCACGCUCCAGCUGGACGCAGCCAGCAGCUUGCUUCGUGGGCUCAGCUCCUCAGACUCUGUUCCGUUUUAUCCCAGCCAUGAGCCUCAGUUCCUGGAAAAUGCGCCCGGCAUUCACGCAGCGCUCAGCUGGAAUCGAAGCUUUGCAGCCACGGAGCAACCAGUGUCCCUCUUCUGCAUGACAUGGGGCGGCCUCGGGUUUUGGCCCCCACGUGACACAGAAGUCCUGCAAGCAGACUUGGUCCCAGCUCAACUCGCCUUCUCCCCCACCCCAUUUUUAAUUAUUCUUUUAAUAACAGUACAGUUUGAGAGAAAAGAGAAAGCCGAAGCAAGAGAAACAACAAAGAAAACGUAGCGAAGAAACACCAACGGAUCUCAGACUAACACUGCACGGAACAUCAAGUACAAAAGAAAAAGGAAAAAAAUUCACUGUAGGUCCGUAAUCAUUAUCCUUUCUACUCAGCAGGGCUUUUUCUUUAGAACUUAGUUAAAAUUAAUUGAAAAUUCUACUAAAUUGCAAUUCUUCAACUUAUUCUUUAUUCACCUUGACUUGACAAAGCCUCGGUGCAAAUAUCCACCUCCAAUACUUUCCCCAAAGAUCCCGUUCCCCUUUCAGUUAUCAUUAAUUUCUUUCGCUGGUUAUCGUCUUCCAUAGUUCAUUAAGCUUGCUUAGUGACUAGCUUAUUUUUCCAGUCUGCCAUAAUUGCAUGUUCAUUGCAUACCACUUCAAGGAAAUUUAAACUCCAGCCACAAUGGUCAUGUACUUGAAUAGCUCUAUUCAACUUAACUCAGCUUAUUAUAACAACAAAACAAGAGUUAACAUCUAAAAAUAUUUUUUAAAAUAUUAACUUGCAUUCUUCAACUGGGCUGAGCAUGAGCAGAAGUCUGUGAAGGUUUAAGGCAGCGACUCUGUGGAGCUUUAACUGGGAUGCACUCUUUCCCACUGCCCAAAAGCCAGCAGUUUCUUGUUUGAAAGCACACCUGGAGCUACCUAUUCAAAUUGUUUUGUUGAUCAGGCCCGCCUUUGCUCUGGGGGCAAAUCUGUUUACCUUACUGAAAUCCUUCUGUUCCCGCAAAGGGAGAAGCCCGCUUUAUUCUGCAUCCGGAGACUGGGAGGAGGAGAAUGAUGGAAGCCACUCUGAGUUCGUUGCAAGUAAAAAAUGGGGUGUAAAUAUAACAAAUGAAUAACCUGAACCUCUGACGGCAAGUAGGUUAGCAGAUACAUGAGCAUCAGGAUGCGCAUGAUGAGAUAUAUCAGCCGUCCAGAGACGUUAAGUAUCGGGACGGCAUAUAAAAACUUUAAAUGAAUGAAAAUAAAAAAAUAUAUCCGACAAAGUUGUGGCCUGCUUUGCUAGCAGUCAUCACAUCUCAUGUUGUUCCCCAAACUGGCCCUGGCACAGCCACAAGUUCUGGGUCUCUGACGAUUAGAUCCCGAAGAGAGUUUUGCACGCAUUGAAAUGCCAUGUGUUUUGCUGUACACAAAACACCUCGCGCCUGCCUCAUGGUGUCUGACAUCCUUGGGUCACACCAUGGAAUAAAAGCUGCCAUCCUCGUCUCCUCGGUACACUAGAAGCUCUGGAGCUGCGGGUGGUAUCGGCCCAAGGUCUGCCGUUCCGGUUCUGUGCAUCCAUGGCCGCUGUUCCGGUUUCAAGGAAUGUGUUUGUGCAGGCAGUGAAACUCGCAUGCAGUCUAGUCCUGCGUGACUCGCAAUUGCGUCUUUAUUGAAACCCAAUGAAAGCAAUAAGCUGGUAAGAAAUGUAGGAUCAGUACUCAGUCACUGAGGCCAAUGAAUCGAUGAACUGGCUGGACGAGAUGAAGUUGACGGAGGAGGGGAAAGCACAGAGCAAGCCUGGGCCCUCCAGGUGCCACCCAGACCAGCUGCACAGGACGGAGGUUUCUUCCCAACUGAGGCAGAACUGGAACACACUGGGGAGGAAUUCUUGGCCUGGACCCCUGAUCCAUGCAGUGCAUCAAGACCUGAUCAGCUGUGAACAGGUGGAACAAUCGUAAGGGACAACGCUGCAAAA